AAUUAAAAUUCGGAUCAUCGAGACCAAACUUGGGUCUCCUGCCUUCUGGUCCAUUGUUUGGUAGAUGGCAUGAUCAGUAACAUGAGAUCACAGGAUAAAAAUAAGGAGAGUGAGCAAGGAUUUAUUUGGAAGAAAAAAAUAAUUUCCCUCCGUGAUUCGGAUGUUGACCUACAGGGUAUUCCGGGUGAGCGAGAAGAUUCCACCUGGGAAGACGGAAGUGCUGGUGAGCUGCACCCCCGUUCUGACCCUCUGGCCCCUCUGUCCCUGACCUGAGUCCCAUCCCUCUGUCCCUCCUAGUUAGAGGGCUAGGGCUCGUUUAUGGCUUCCACAUUUACAGUUGAGGUACAUGAAGAAAUUCAUCACAAACUUUCAUCAAGACCUUCUAUAAGCUUUAAAAAAAAACCUUACAAUUAAAAAAAGCACAUAUUAAAGGGCUUAUCAUGAAAAAGCAGGAGCCCCUUGCCCCACUAUUUUUAAAAAAAUAUUUAUUCAUUUUAAAUUAUUUCUCUCCCCUCCUCCCCGGCCCCCACGCUUUCUGCUCUCUGUGCCCAUUUGCUGUGUGUUCUUCUGUGUCCACUUGUGUUCUUGUCAGCAGCACUGGGAAUCUGUGUCUCUCUUUGUUGCG
rnacentral:lncRNA from 1 species